rnacentral:rRNA from 1 species
GACGAACGCUGGCGGCGUGCCUAAUACAUGCAAGUCGAACGCUUCUUUCCUCCCGAGUGCUUGCACUCAAUUGGAAAGAGGAGUGGCGGACGGGUGAGUAACACGUGUGUAACCUACCCAUCAGAGGGGGAUAACACUUGGAAACAGGUGCUAAUACCGCAUAACAGUUUAUGCCGCAUGGCAUAAGAGUGAAAGGCGCUUUCGGGUGUCGCUGAUGGAUGGACCCGCGGUGCAUUAGCUAGUUGGUGAGGUAACGGCUCACCAAGGCCACGAUGCAUAGCCGACCUGAGAGGGUGAUCGGCCACACUGGGACUGAGACACGGCCCAGACUCCUACGGGAGGCAGCAGUAGGGAAUCUUCGGCAAUGGACGAAGGUCUGACCGAGCAACGCCGCGUGAGUGAAGAAGGUUUUCGGAUCGUAAAACUCUGUUGUUAGAGAAGAACAAGGACGUUAGUAACUGAACGUCCCCUGACGGUAUCUAACCAGAAAGACACGGCUAACUACGUG